rnacentral:rRNA from 1 species
GGGUUGUGAGGUUAAGCGACUAAGCGUACACGGUGGAUGCCCUGGCAGUCAGAGGCGAUGAAGGACGUGCUAAUCUGCGAUAAGCGUCGGUAAGGUGAUAUGAACCGUUAUAACCGGCGAUUUCCGAAUGGGGAAACCCAGUGUGAUUCGUCACACUAUCAUUAACUGAAUCCAUAGGUUAAUGAGGCGAACCGGGGGAACUGAAACAUCUAAGUACCCCGAGGAAAAGAAAUCAACCGAGAUUCCCCCAGUAGCGGCGAGCGAACGGGGAGCAGCCCAGAGCCUGAAUCAGUGUGUGUGUUAGUGGAAGCGUCUGGAAAGGCGCGCGAUACAGGGUGACAGCCCCGUACACAAAAAUACACAUAUUGUGAGCUCGAUGAGUAGGGCGGGACACGUGGUAUCCUGUCUGAAUAUGGGGGGACCAUCCUCCAAGGCUAAAUACU